UACGUAGGUGGCAAGCGUUGUCCGGAAUUAUUGGGCGUAAAGCGCGCGCAGGCGGUCCUUUAAGUCUGAUGUGAAAGCCCACGGCUCAACCGUGGAGGGUCAUUGGAAACUGGGGGACUUGAGUGCAGAAGAGGAAAGCGGAAUUCCACGUGUAGCGGUGAAAUGCGUAGAGAUGUGGAGGAACACCAGUGGCGAAGGCGGCUCUCUGGAACGCAACUGACGCUGAGACGCGAAAGCGUGGGGAGCAAACAGG
rnacentral:rRNA from 1 species